CCUACGGGAGGCAGCAGUGGGGAAUUUUGGACAAUGGGCGCAAGCCUGAUCCAGCAAUGCCGCGUGAGUGAAGAAGGCCUUCGGGUUGUAAAGCUCUUUUGUCAGGGAAGAAACGGUGGGAGCUAAUAUCUCCCGCUAAUGACGGUACCUGAAGAAUAAGCACCGGCUAACUACGUGCCAGCAGCCGCGGUAAUACGUAGGGUGCAAGCGUUAAUCGGAAUUACUGGGCGUAAAGCGUGCGCAGGCGGUUUUGUAAGUCUGUCGUGAAAGCCCCGGGCUCAACCUGGGAAUUGCGAUGGAGACUGCAAGGCUUGAAUCUGGCAGAGGGGGGUAGAAUUCCACGUGUAGCAGUGAAAUGCGUAGAGAUGUGGAGGAACACCGGAUGGCGAAGGCAGCCCCCUGGGUCAAGAUUGACGCUCAUGCACGAAAGCGUGGGGAGCAAACAGGAUUAGAUACCCUGGUAGUCCACGCCCUAAACGAUGUCUACUAGUUGUCGGUUUAAUUACUUGGUACNCAGCUACGUACGUGAGUAGAGU
rnacentral:rRNA from 1 species